CCCAGCCGCCGCCCGGGCUGCGCUGCAGGGACCGCCCGGGAGUGAGCGGGGGACGGGCCUCCCGGUCGGUCCUGCGCUAGCGGAGGAGGAUGCUGCCCUGGUCGCCAGCUUCACGUGGCUUCUGCUUGUCAUUGCGUGGCCACAGACCGCCUGCAGCCCCAAUCGGCUCCUAUCAGACAUCACCGUCCGGAGAGGCCACAGCUACCAGCCAUGACAGAGUCCUGCGAGUCUGUCUCACGGGCGCCCCUGUGGUCUGUCCUCACCUGCCCUCUUGCCGUGCUCCUGGCCGAUGGUUGUAGGCGCUGCACCAACGUCCUCGGGUUUGCGCCCUCCCUCCCCGGGCCAGUCCAGACUUUAGAGAUUCAUCCCUUCUCUUUGGGUAAGAGUCAGCCUUGUUGACCCUGGUUCAGAACAUGAGUCACUCUACUGGAAAAGAAAUAUGAACGUGCAUUUAAACUUGAUUGGAAAAGUACUUACUGUACUAAAUCAUCUCCGAGAUUCAUUUGGAUGCUUGGCGUGUUCUGUGCUAGAAACUUGACACCUGUCAACAUCUUAAUAAAUAUUUCCCCCCAAAUUUAUGUUAAAAUAUC
rnacentral:lncRNA from 1 species